rnacentral:lncRNA from 1 species
UCAAUCAGAAAACCAACAGACAAACAGUGGAACUUUCCAAUAUUUACAACUCAAUGAACAAUGCUCAAGCAAUCAAAUGAAGCAAUGAGCUCAAUACUUAGAAUCCUACAAAACAAUCAAAGGUUAGAAUUCAUAUCAUUUGUAUCUCACAAAGUGAGACCAAACCAAUCAUCAAGGCUAAUGUCCAAACCUGAAACACAAAGCAUAAUUAGUUAUGUACAAAAACACUAGUGCAAAGACUAGGUCUAAAAC